rnacentral:rRNA from 1 species
AAGCCCGAGUAAACGGCGGCCGUAACUAUAACGGUCCUAAGGUAGCGAAAUUCCUUGUCGGUUAAAUACCGACCUGCAUGAAUGGCGUAACGAGAUGGGAGCUGUCUCAACCAGAGAUUCAGUGAAAUUGUAGUGGAGGUGAAAAUUCCUCCUACCCGCGGCAAGACGGAAAGACCCCGU